GCUUGGCUUUUCUCUUUGUGGUUUUGAGAGUUAGCUUCUCGUGAACCGUUUGUCAAUAUGUGUGACGCACACGAGGUGCUUUGUAUUUACAAAAGAAAAAUAAUGAAGGAAAAGUCUGAAGCUAAUCAGCUGGAGACACAGAGCAAAGAUAUGCAGUAUGAUGAGGAGGAGGAUGAAAUCCCCCAGAUUUGUGGCAAGAGGCAUGCUUGAUUGUAAUCAGCCAAGACAUUUGCUGAAGUUUGAACAACUUUACCUCUCCAAGCCCAUAAGAGAUUGUGCUGCUUCACCAGUGUUGCCACGUGAAGCCAGAUUAAGAAAUCUCAUAAACAGUCAUUAAAGAAGGUGAAGAACAACUUCAGAUGCAGCAUCAGAAAACUUUUAUUGGUAAAGUUCCAGUUAUGUUGCAUUCAAUUUACUGUCUACUAAAUGGCUUAGCAGAUCAUGAUCUUUGUGAGUUAAAUGGAUGCCUCUUGGAUCCUGAUGGCUACUUCAUUAUUAAUGGAUCAGAAAAGGUUCUGAUUGCUCAAGAGAAAAUGGCAACAAACACAACCUUUGUGUUUGCCAAAAAGGAUUCUAAAUAUGCCUACACAGGAGAGUGUAGAUCAUGUCUGGAGAAUUCUUCUGACCCACUAUCUGGGUUAGCAUGCUGGCAAGAGGAGGACAGCUUUCUGCCAUGUUCCAAAACACUGGGAAGAGCAGACAUUUCAGGCCCCAGACAAGAUGCUCUGUAUCUCUGCAGCUGUGAAGAUGACAGGCGAUAUCAAAAGAUCAAGGGACUUUGCUGCGCUCACUGAGGUGUGCCUCAACAAGGAAGCGCUGUAGCCCUGAUAACUUGGGCAGGUAACUUACAACUCUAAGGAAAAUCGACCUUAGGUGAAGCUAAGGACAAUGGAGUGGAGGAGUGGAAAGAGCCCGAGUUCUUGAGGACGUCAUUGAGAAGCUGAUCAACACUGUUACUGGAGCCCAUCCUAAUUCUGGACUUAUACUACAGUGACACAGUGAGAGGAAGCUGUACAAUCAGCCUUUUACACUGGUGCAUUAAAAAAAAAAAAAAAGCUGAGUGGUAAAUUUAAUGUGGCAUAGACAUUUCGGUCACCAGCCAGCACUGGAAAGCAGUGGAAUCAAAUACUGCAUGUGAAAGCCUGGUGCGCAGGGCUUGGGCCAUCAGAGCUGCUUCACUGUUCACUCAGC